AACAAGCUGACUUUUUUUUUUGAAGGAAAAGAAAAUACACAAUAUCUGAAUAUUCGGACUGUUUGAGUUUGUGAAAAAUACGUAAAGUUAAAAAGUAAACGUUUUGAAAGACGUCAAAUCCGACUUCCGGGGAACGGACCGAAGAAGAAGAACGAGUUGUUUUGUUUUCGAUGACAGAAGCUAAAGCUGCUCACAGCAUUCUGUGACAAACAUUCGAUUAAUCCGGAUAAAGCUGGAACCGGAUCAGUUUUUCCGACAUGUGUGGUUUUUAUUAACAUUGUCAACGUGGUUAUUUAUUGCGUUUGGGAAGCUGAUUUGUUAGCUAAACAAGCUAAGUGCAAAGCUAAUACGCCUGGAUUAGCAUUAGCAUUGUUUGCUUAGCAGUGCUGCUCCAUGCCGAGUAUUGUUCUAGAAAUUUCCACUCGGUGUGUUUUUAACCACUUUUAACGCGUCUUUUAGCAACUUGGAGGUUUUUUUUUUUACAAUACUGACGUUUUUAUUUUCCAGAUUUAACGAAGAGAGAGUCAGGAUGGUGUGUGAGCUGCUGCUGUCCUCAGUCUGGCUGCUGUUUGUGGUUUUCUGGGUGGAGACCAUCAGCGUGUGGUUGUUCCUCUGCCUCUUCUAUCAGGACAGAGCUUUCUAUCACUGGGGUGACGGGGUGUUUGCUGAUGAUCCUGGUCAGAUGCUCUACAUGCUGAGCAGAUCAGAUCAUUCUGCUCAUACCUGAGCUCGCGGCCUUGUCGUCAGCUGGGAACGCCAAUCAACCAAAGAUCUGGGGAGGAAAAUGGCUUCCCGUCCGACUGCUGCCGCAUUUCAACAAUCUGUGCCAUGGCUCGCGAUGGAGAAUUAGCACGGAGCUCGUGGCUAAGCGCAGGUUCUGUGUUGGUUGUUAUAAAGGGAACUUGUAUUACGUUUCUCACUUUGUCUCCUCUGAAAGGAGCUUCUCUUCUCAAGAAAAAAAAAAAAAAGAACGGCAGCUCGGUGUAGGAAUGACACUAAAACGCACCCGGUCUGUCCGUCUGUUUGUUUUUAAAUCUGCGUGCCUGUGAUUGAAGCGAACACUUUCCACCUGCCUUCGGUUUUAACGUACUCACUUUGUUGUCUUGUUUAGGCGUCUGCUUCAUAUCACAAUGAUUUUGUUUUUACAGUUUGAGUUUAUCACUAGUUCAUUGGGGUGUGUUGCGGUUUGUCCAGUGGGCUGUAUGAGGUUUUCAGGAUACACACUCGAUGUUUUUCGUACAUUUUUUUUUUUUCAUCGCUGCUUACUAUGGCGUGCGGCCUUAACCUCGAAGCUAAUCAACAUUUAAACAAUACAGGAUGUAACAAUGUCGCUACAAAGAUCCAACAGGACUCCUUAAAGUCUGAUAAUGAAAAUACUGAACCUUAAUGACAUUUGUCCAUCUAAAGGGACAGAUACACGCAUUCUUGUGUGACCCUGUUGACCAGUGUUUGCACGAGUGAUAUAUAAUAUAUUCAAAUUUUAAAUACACACUUUUUUUUUUUUAAUGCUCAGAAUUUGAGAUCAGUUUUUUUCACAUGUAUAGACGAUGAAUCGUUUGCCAAAGAAGAGUCGGCUCUUUUGAUUCGGCUCCUUUAGGUAGAUAUCAAGAGUUCAUUCAUGUCAACUUUUUUUUUUUUUUAAACGUCUAGCUAUUCAGUCAGAUAAAUCUUACAGACAGCAGCACAAUAACGUAAAAUCAACAAUGCAGUGCAAGAGUCAGUUCACUUGCGUUUCUCCUUUAUGAUUUUACAAUAAUUGAAAUGGAUUUAAAGUCACGUUGUUUUGUUUUGUUCGUUUGAAAUAACUUGAGCUUUAUUUCGGCAAAGAUGAUCAAUCACUCGUCUCCAAAAUAUCUUGGCUUGGAAAAAGGCCAAGGAGUCGUUUAGGAGUCGACUCUUUUUUUUUUUUUUUUUUUUUUUUUUUUUAGCGAGUUGAAAUACUGAUUCAGUGAAAAGGGUGGGAAAUUCUCAUCACGAGCAGUUGCGCUGUGGAAGCUCCGCCCACCCUUGAGUCGUGCGGGGUGGAAGAUAACCGGUUGAAGGGGAAAGAGGCGGGGCUUAGUGUCUGAGGUAAAUCACUUGUGAUAGAGUAUUGAUUGUUUAAAAAUCAAACUGUUAGCUUUUAGCUUGUCGUGUAUAACUUGCUGCUGUUUUUUUUUUUUUUUUUUUUUUACUUUUUAAUUUAAGUGCUCAGCCAGAUUUAAAAAAAAAAAAAAAACUUUUCACAUGAAACUCGGAUACCAAAGCGAGUUUGUAAACUUCUUUUAUCAUGAUUUAAUAUUAAUUUGUCAUCAUUCAGCUCUGUUAUGUUUCUUAAAACCAAUUAAUUUGCCCCCGGAGUGUUUAAUGUGUGUUUUUUUGUUUUUUUUUUUCCAAUGGAAAGUUUCCCAAAAGUAUCGCAGCACAAUGAUUGUUACAAUGGUAAAGCGAGCAUCGCAUUUAACUUCCUCUCCUGUUUCUCACCUGUUACCCGACGUUCACAAAAACAAGUGACAAAACAUUCCUUUACACUGCUUAAGUAACACUCUUUCAACCAUAAAGUGACCUUUUAACGCAAGCUUUUCCUCAAUUUAUAUCCAAAUUUGAGUAUGAAGCUACAAAUCCCACUGAUCGGCUGGAAGGAUUCCUCAGCCCACUCCAUUUCAUCGGUUCCCUGCUCAUUAGAUUUAAUUUCCAUUUACUGUUUGACACACCAAGAAAACGUUUUUAAAACCAUGGUUUUGUCUAAUCCUGUCCUGUACAGUCAGUCGUUAAAGGUGUAUAGAGACGUUACGAAGAUGGCUCGGAAGGAGUGGAGAUCGCUGGUGUGGUUAGCUUUGCUCAUUUGCCAAUAAAGCAAACACGAGGAUGAAAGUCAACCAAUUUUCACACUGAAUUGUGUUGAGUUCAUGGUUAACGAGGUAGCUUUAAAAGCUACGUAUAUAGCUAGUAGCGUUUUUCAGUGUAACAAAUUCUGGCCAGGACACGCCCACAAGUGAUAACCGUAACAGUCACGAUACACCCACAAGAGACGAACUACAAUCGACUCAAGCGAGUGUGAACGUAGAGUUUAGAUGAUUUCCAAUUUUUAUAAAUUGUAAAAAAAAAAAAGGGGGGGUUAGUUACCUUCAAGACCUCUGACUUUUUGUUUAAGAACUGUACCUGUAAUUUCGAGAUGAAUGAACUCCUAAGUGUAAACCAUCCAUGUGAUUCUGGACUUUUUUCUUUGGAAAAUAAAUGCUGUAUUCCUUUCUUUUCUAAUGGUUUGACAGAAGGGUUGUUCCAUCCAUGAUGGGGAUUUCCUUUUGUGUUCCACAUAAUAAACCAACAUGCUGUACACGUGAA